AAGAGUAGCCUUAGGUGAGGACUCAGAAUCAGUGGUGACACUAGAGGGCACAUAUGGACAUAAGGUUUAGAUUUAUUCAAUAAAACAUUCUUGACCUUGGUUUAAGUGAGUUCAUGGCAAAGCCUAAACUUGAGAUAUUGCCCAAAGAUUAGCCUAUAUCAUGUGAGGUUAUAAAUAUUUUAGUAUUUAUGUAAACUCCAGGAAAGUUCAAACAGUCAAAUAGUUGUAGAAGAAGUUCUAAUAUAAUUCCUUUGAUCUGGACAGGGCUUCUCAGUGAACCUCAAGCAGAAAACAAAGUGGAAUAAGUAGAGUUAUUAAACUGAAAUUGUUAUUAAAGCCUUUAAAGAUCUUUGCCUACCUCACCAGCUUUAUCUUAUUAUCAUGACUUAUUUGCCUUCUUCUUCAAGCUAUUCCAAUUUUUCCCAGUUCUUUGAACUUCUCAUGUUAGUUCCAAUCUGGGGCCUUUAAUUGUGCCAUAUCCUCUUUGUAGAAAAAUUUCCCAAGACCUCUCCUCACAUUCAACCAAUACAUAUUUAAUUGUCUAUUAUGUACCCUAACUCUAUGAUUAUGCUGAAUAUACUAUAGUAAAUGAAGAUAUCUGUUCCUCAUCCUCUUGGAGCCUACAAUGUAAUGAAGGAGAUAGAAGAUAAACAAGUAGGCAAACUAAAUUGUAUCAUUACAAAUUCUUCAGGUGUCAAGAAUAAAACCACUGAAAUGGAGAAAACAUUUUAGAAUUGAUUGCAAUAAUAGUUUUAUAAUUCCAUUGAAUUGUCCAUUUUAUAUGGGUGAAUUUUAGUGUUAUAAAUUUUAUAUCAAUAAAGCUAUGUUUAACACAAUGAAUAAAACUGGUGAGUAUAAUGAUAACAAGUAACCAAAUACAAUUCUGGAUUCUGAAAUGAGACCUACUGGAUAAGAAGGAGUAGGCACCAGGAGGCUGAUGGGGCAGUGGGGAGAAAUAUGGAUGAUUAAAGUGGCUACCACUCCAAUAAAUAACAUGUGCAAUGUUCUUGAAGUGAAAAACAAAUCAAUGGGUUUGAGGGAAUGAGAGAAAGCCAAAGUGGCUUGGGGAUUCAGAGAACAACAAAAUAAUUUUAGCCACAGAUGAUACUGGCAAGCAGGGCAGAGGCUAAUCCCAUACAAUAGUGUAAAAUGGUAGGGGUUUUGUCAAUAUGAAAUAAAGAGCUGGUGUUAGGAUAAUAUUUAUAUUAUAAAAAGCUAAUUCUAUGAAGUAUAUAGAGUGGGAAUGAAUCAAAUUGGAAUGGAACUGAUGAGAGCACGUGGAGACUAUUUACUCAACCAAACAAGAGAUGAAGUUGAACUGAGCAUAUUUGGUUGCUGGGAGAAAACUCUCCACAGAUAAGGAAUUUCUCCACAUCUUCUGAGCAAAAUACAUUGACAACUUUGUUCAAAGAUUGGCAUAACAGAUAUCCCUUGAAGUUAGAUAUAUUGUCUCCCUCUAGGUGAGAAGGAAUAUUUGUUUCCUGACAAGGAUAAUAAAGAUAAUUUCGUCCCUGGAGAAGAAGGUUUGGACAAGUUUGCUAGCCACUCCUAUAAAAUAUUGGGAGUUUCAGUGUUUAUCAGUGUUCUUCAGCUGUGACACAAACCCUUGUAACCACAUUGUCCACCAGGUCCUGCCUCUAUAGUACCCACAUGGGACUUGGGGGAAAAUGUAACUGAAAUAAACAUGGAGUUUAUCCUGCCUACUGUCUAAGUUCAUUUGAACUCAUUGUCUCUUUAUAACUUCUAUGUAAAUGUGUGUAGCCAGCCUAGUAGCUUCCAUGUAAGAGAAACUGCUUGAUUCAGGAUUAGAUACUGAGUUAAAGAUACAGGGUUUGGGGUGCAGGAGUGGGGGGCUAUCCCUGCAUACACUACAGGCAGAUGAAAACACCAUAACUAGGGACAGGUCAGGAAUUCAUCACAGAAGGACAUGGCAUGGCAUAGGUGAAUGUGUGCAGCACAUUUAAUUCUAAUUAUUAGUGAGAUAAAUCUAGCACAUACACUUGAGGACCAUAGCAUCUUUUUUUUUGGUGAACAAAGUACACUAAUCAUCUAGUAAAAUGAUCACUUGGGAGAGAGCCCGAAGAACUAGGUCCUAUUUCCAUGCUGUCAUUAACUAGUUAUAGAACUUUAAAUAAGUUAUUUUACAUCUCUGGAAUAUACUUUUCUCAUGUAUAAAAUCAAGGGGUGAAGGGCUUCUCAUUGUUACAUUCUAGCAUUUUAGGAUGUCUAUAAAUAAAGUCAAGUAUUUUAGUAGAGCAGUAUCUAUUUUUUUUCUUUUUAUGGCUGCACCUGUGGCAUAUGGAAGUUCCUAGGCUAGGGGUCAAAUAGGAGCUGCAGCUGUGGUCUACACCAUAGCCAUGGCAACACCAGAUCUGAGCCACAUCUGCAAUCUAUGCUACAACCUGCAGCAAUGUCAGAUCCUUAACCCACUAUGCAAGGCCAGAGAUGGAACCGACAUCCUCAUACAGACAACAUUGAGUCCUUAAGCCACUAAGCCACAAUAGGAACUCCUAGAAACAUUCUUAAAUGUUAUUGUAACAAACUAUACCCAAAUUUAGAACAGCAACUUAUUUUGCUGAUGUUUUUGAAGGUCAGCAAUGCAGGCUGGGCAUAACUGGGUUAUUCUGCUGUUCUGGACCAGGUUUGGAUAAUCUUCUCUGGAAUUUACUCAUAAGUCUGUUGACAACAGUUGGCUGGCUGACUGCUGGCCAGCAUUUCUAUUUCCACCAUUUAGCCUCUAUCCUUUAGCAUUUUAUCACAGGCUCCUUCACUUGGUAUAGGGUUCCAAGGAAAGAAAGAGGGAAAACCUAAUAAAAAAAGUACUUGUCAAGUCUCUCCAAAUUUCAAGUAUACUUUCAUUCUUUUGGCCUAAGCAAGUCAUAAAACCAAGCCAAGAGUCAAUGUGGAAGGACACAGGGAAGACCGAACAUGAUGAAGACAUUAAUACCACACAUUUAUUUAUAGAUAAAUUUGAAAAUAACAAAUAGAAUUUUUCAGAGUUUGAAUCUUUAUAUUAGUUUGGGGAAUAUGGCUGUUGUCAUUAUUCAUUCUUCAAAGAUUUAAUUCUGACCAAACACUGAUAUGCAUUAGCAUGGCACUUUAUUACAGAGAGCUAUGUCAUUACAAAGGUAUUUUUCAAUCCAAAACUGAUAAGGAGAGCUAAUCCAAUUUGUAGCUAAUAUCUUUAAGUGUUGGAAGCUAUUAUCCUUCCUGGCAGCUUUUUGUCUCCCAUGACCAGAGUUAUAAUAACUAUU
rnacentral:lncRNA from 1 species